ACGACUCUUUCUUGUUGAGACCUCUCACCCAAGAAAGUAGCCACCAGUUUCUAGCUGGCUUUCUAUCAACCCUUUGAUCCUUGUAGACACUCGGCAGUCUAACACAAAAUCAAAGUACGACUCUUUCUUGAUGAGACCUCUCACCCAAGAAAGUAGCCACCAGUUUCUAGCUGGAUUUCUAGCGUUCGUUUGAUCCUUGUAGACACUCAGCAGUCUAACACAAAAUCAAAGUACGACUCUUUCUUGAUGAGACCUCUCACCCAAGAAAGUAGCCACCAGUUUCUAGCUGGAUUUCUAGCUUUCGUUUCGUUUCAAAGUAUUGUUACAGACAGAUUAAAAGAAGUACAAAAAGAAGUCUUCAAUCUUGUUCAAAGU
rnacentral:lncRNA from 1 species